rnacentral:rRNA from 1 species
UACGUAGGGGGCAAGCGUUGUCCGGAAUUAUUGGGCGUAAAGAGCGUGUAGGCGGCCAGAUAAGUCCGCUGUGAAAUCUCGAGGCUCAACUUCGAGCUGUCGGUGGAAACUAUCUGGCUAGAGUCCGGAAGAGGAGAAUGGAAUUCCUGGUGUAGCGGUGAAAUUCGUAGAUAUUGGGAAGAACACCGGUGGCGAAGGCGGCGCUCUGGACCGAGACUGACGCUGAGGCGCGAAAGCGUGGGGAGCAAACAGG